rnacentral:rRNA from 1 species
UUCAGCUUGUUGGUGAGGUAAUGGCUCACCAAGGCGACGACGGGUAGCCGGCCUGAGAGGGUGACCGGCCACACUGGGACUGAGACACGGCCCAGACUCCUACGGGAGGCAGCAGUGGGGAAUAUUGCACAAUGGGCGAAAGCCUGAUGCAGCGACGCCGCGUGAGGGAUGACGGCCUUCGGGUUGUAAACCUCUUUCAGUAGGGAAGAAGCGAAAGUGACGGUACCUGCAGAAGAAGCGCCGGCUAACUACGUGCCAGCAGCCGCGGUAAUACGUAGGGCGCAAGCGUUAUCCGGAUUUAUUGGGCGUAAAGAGCUCGUAGGCGGUUUGUCGCGUCUGCCGUGAAAGUCCGAGGCUCAACCUCGGAUCUGCGGUGGGUACGGGCAGACUAGAGUGAUGUAGGGGAGACUGGAAUUCCUGGUGUAGCGGUGAAAUGCGCAGAUAUCAGGAGGAACACCGAUGGCGAAGGCAGGUCUCUGGGCAUUUACUGACGCUGAGGAGCGAAAGCAUGGGGAGCGAACAGGAUUAGAUACCCUGGUAGUCCAUGCCGUAAACGUUGGGCACUAGGUGUGGGGGACAUUCCACGUU